rnacentral:lncRNA from 10 species
CAAGCGGUUCCCCAACACAAGCUCAGCCUUGUCCGGUCAAUCACUUGGCAGGUCUGGAGGUAGAAGCAUUCAGAAAUGAUCCUGUGGUCCAGUCUGACCCCCUGUCUCAUGCCGUGGAACCUCAGAAUUACGACAUUGUCAGAACUGGUAGAGUGGGGCUUGGGAUUCAUGCAGCCUCACCCCUCCUCAUCCCAGGGGUUACAAAGAGUCUAGGGUCCUUACCAAGAUGCCAUGGCACUUCAGGAGAUUCCGCUUCUCUCUCUGAGCUGAAUGUCCCUCAGUGGCAGCUAGUUCUUCCUUGUGUCUAACCAGAGUCUCUCUCGCUGCAGGAGCAGCUUGGAUGCUCCUCCUCAUGGCCAGUCUCCAGAGAGGCCUACUGCUCACCAGAUGUGUGGAUGAACAAACCUGAACAGCCUGGAGGCUGGUGAUAUCUACCCCCACAGCGCUUCUUCCUUGGUCCCCCAAGCAGGCUCCAUAACUCCAAGACUUCACGCAGCCUUUUCUGAACUUGGAAGUCAAGAGAAAAUUCACAGAACUUUGGAAAAUACAUUUUCUUUUAAGGAAGAAUUUUUUGUUUUCAUUUCAACAGCCCUGGCUGGUGAUGAGGGGUGAUGCGAGGUGCCCUGUUUUCCAUCCUAACACCUAUUUCCAGGUGGGGGCAGGGAGGGCUCCAACCUGAAAUGUUAUUUCAAAACCUUUCCGGGCCUUGCAGCUCCAUUUCCAGGCCACAUGCUGCAAAGCACGGCACGAUUUCCCAUUACGUGCUGUUGCCCUUUCUCGUCUGAGCACCUUUCAAAGUGGGAAGACCCAGCCUGCUGCAACACCCUCCCUCCUGUCCCCAUAAAUUAAGUCUCACUGCCUGAUGUGAGGCUUAAAUAAAUAGCCUUGCCCGGCACCCGAUGGCCACACUCCUGAUAGAUGGGCUUGCCAAGAGCAGCAAACUCAGCUCGCUCCUCCUUGCCCCUCCACAGAGAGAAGAUGAAACUGGUGUUUUGCAAAUGCUUCCUGCCUGCUUUCUGCCAGCCAAGGCACAUUCCAAGAAGGAGCAGGCCAGCAAAGUCUUGUCAUCUGACGGGGUGAGGACAGAGAUGGAUGAUGCGCUCUUUGCCAGAGAAGGCCACGUUCAGACACUCCCAGAUAGCCAGCUGCCACUUUAUUAACAGCAAAGAUCCCCAUCUGAACGAGGCUGGGAAAGAAAAUAUUUAUGCUUGCCUGUCAGGAGGACCUUCAUUUUUCUUCUGGGGAGCCAGCCAGGGUGCUAGUCCAGGGAUGGAGGAGUGUGACGUGCCUAUGGGGUUGCCCCAGGCCCUUCUGCAUCCCAGGGUUGAUGGAGAGUCCAGAAUGUUCCCAGGGCAGCUCUGGAUGGGGUCGGGAGGUUUCAGAAGAGCUGGAUAUAGGGAGUUCAGGGCCUGAGAAAGCAGAACACACCCUGGCACCUGUUAACUGCAAACAAGAGGACCUGGGUGGGGGAGUGGGUGCUACAGUUAGAAAUCAGUGGCAAAUAGGCCAUUAAAUGAUCUCAUUAUUAAUUAAAAACACAUAGCAGCAUGCAUCUGAUAAGAAACUUUGUACUAAGGAUAAAAUAAUUUUGUAUUGGCAGAAAAUAUCAACACUGGAGCAGAGCUUAUCAUUUAAGCUGGGCAUAUAUUAAAAUCAGUUUAUAUUAUUACUCUUCUCAUGGUCAUUAUUUUGAACAAAAGUUGAAAACCAGUUCUUUAACGGUUUC